UUGCGGUUAAAAAGCUCGUAGUUGGAUCUUGGAGCGUGUGCUUGCGGUCACACCUAUGGUGUGCACUGCUUGACGUGUUCUUCUAUUUGGUUAGCGUGUGUGUUCUCUUAGUUGAGUGCCGCACUCGACCGAAACGUUUACCUUGAAAAAAUUAGAGUGUUCAAAGCAGACCUGUUUGUGUCUGAAUAUUCGUGCAUGGAAUAAUGAAAUAUGAAUUCGGUUCUAUUUUGUUGGUUUUCGGAACUCGAGUUAAUGAUUAAGAGGGACAGACGGGGGUAUUAGUACUCUGCCGUUAGAGGUGAAAUUCUUGGAUCGGCGGAAGACUCGCAACUGCGAAAGCAUUUGCCAAGAAUGUUUUCUUUAAUCAAGAACGAUAGUCGGAGGUUCGAAGACGAUCAGAUACCGUCCUAGUUUCGACUGUAAACUAUGCCAGCUAACGAUCAGACAGCGUUCUCUACGACUUGUCUGGCAGUUUCCGGGAAACCAAAGCUUUUGGGUUCCGGGGGAAGUAUGGUUGCAAAGCUGAAACUUAAAGGAAUUGACGGAAGGGCACCACCAGGAGUGGAGCCUGCGGCUUAAUUUGACUCAACACGGGGAAACUCACCCGGCCCGGACACAGUGAGGAUUGACAGAUUGAGAGUUCUUUCUUGAUUCUGUG
rnacentral:rRNA from 1 species